CUUCAGGUCAAAGGUCAAGAGUGAAAACCUAGGGAGAGACAUGGCUGCAGUAACAGCUCCAUGAAUCAUCUGCUAUAGACACCACCUGCCAAAGGCAUGUACAGGCUUCGGUGAAACUGCACAAAUGUUCCCGCCUCAACUUCAAUGGCAGCUCUACAGCAGUUAAGGUCACAGCCUGGGAACAUGCGGGGACCACAAGGUUAAAGUCUGGGAGCACACUGACGGCGGUGGUGAUCAAGCGAUGAAGAUUACGGGAGAUUAAAUUAGUAGAAAAACCACUCAGCACUGGUCAACCAAUAAGGCAAAACAGGCAGCCACUUAGGACGCCAUCUUCUGAGGGGUCGCUGGGAUGCCAUCAUCUGAGGGGUCGCUGGGACGCCUUCUUCUGAGGGGGCGCUGGGACGCCAUCUUCUGAGGGGGCGCUGGGACGCCAUCUUCUGAGGGGGCGCUGGGACGCCAUCUUCUGAGGGUGCGCUGACUUAGCACACAGUUAAACAAUAUUGCAUAUACAAUGAAGAUUGUUAUGUUGAAAGUAGUGCCAUGUUUCCCAUAUGAAUAUUUCCUGGGGGAAAUGCAACCUUUGUCAAACACCCUGUGGAAGUUCCAUGGAAACAGAAGUUUUACUGGAGUAGAUCGGAGACAGAGAGAGACAUCAGGCUCCACCCUGGAGGUAACACUUAUCUGGCUAUUUUUAGCCCAAACUGGUGGCGUACUUAGAAAAUCAGUGGUUUUCAUGUGUUCCACUUGGCAAACAUUCG